AUUGAACGCUGGCGGCAUGCCUUACACAUGCAAGUCGAACGGCAGCGGACCUUCGGGUGCCGGCGAGUGGCGAACGGGUGAGUAAUAUAUCGGAACGUACCUUUCAGUGGGGGAUAACGUAGCGAAAGUUACGCUAAUACCGCAUAUUCUGUGAGCAGGAAAGCAGGGGAUCGCAAGACCUUGCGCUGAUUGAGCGGCCGAUAUCAGAUUAGCUAGUUGGUGAGGUAAAGGCUCACCAAGGCGACGAUCUGUAGCGGGUCUGAGAGGAUGAUCCGCCACACUGGAACUGAGACACGGUCCAGACUCCUACGGGAGGCAGCAGUGGGGGAAUUUUGGACAAUGGGGGCGAACCCUGAUCCAGCCAUGCCGCGUGAGUGAAGAAGGCCUCGGUUGUAAGUACGU
rnacentral:rRNA from 1 species